rnacentral:rRNA from 1 species
AACGAACGCUGGCGGCAGGCCUAACACAUGCAAGUCGAGCGCGCCCUUCGGGGUGAGCGGCGGACGGGUGAGUAACGCGUGAGAACGUGCCCUUUUCUACGGAAUAGCCUCGGGAAACUGAGAGUAAUACCGUAUACGCCCUUUGGGGGAAAGAUUUAUCGGAAAAGGAUCGGCCCGCGUUGGAUUAGGUAGUUGGUGGGGUAAUGGCCUACCAAGCCGACGAUCCAUAGCUGGUUUGAGAGGAUGAUCAGCCACACUGGGACUGAGACACGGCCCAGACUCCUACGGGAAGCAGCAGUGGGGAAUCUUAGACAAUGGGGGCAACCCUGAUCUAGCCAUGCCGCGUGAGUGAUGAAGGCCUUAGGGUUGUAAAGCUCUUUCAGCUGGGAAGAUAAUGACGGUACCAGCAGAAGAAGCCCCGGCUAACUCCGUG